rfam:Larimichthys crocea isolate SSNF unplaced genomic scaffold scaffold23, whole genome shotgun sequence.
ACAAAGGCUCUUUUAAGAGCCACACACAGAUAAACUAAGAGCUCU